rnacentral:ribozyme from 1 species
UUUUCUUUCUUUCUUUCUUUCCUUGAAGACGAGCCUUGGAGAUGAAAAUGUUUACUUUGUGAAAGGGACUGAAGUUCUCGCCGUCUUGGAACUCGAAUGAUUAAAUAGUUUGGAAAGUCAAGUUGUUCGUUCUUUUUUUCCUUUUCUGCAGGAAAACAAAAAAGAAAAAAAGAAAAAAGAAAACUUUUUUAAAAUAUGAUUCUGCGCUUUUUUUCAA